rnacentral:lncRNA from 1 species
GCUCCUUUCCCUCCAACCAUAAUAUCUGUGGUUAUUAUUUUAAAAGGCCAAUUAAUGUUAAAACACCCCAAAUUGGUUUGCAAAUCUACACAAUUUUUAUACUUAAGCUAUAUAUUUGAAACAUCAUUUUUUUCCUACCCUGUUCAUUUAUUAUACUUCCUUUAAUACUGAGUCUUAUUUAAGUAUUUACAGAGUAACAAAUAUUUUCAUGCCUAAAUUUACUUUAAUUUUAAUCAACCUCAAAUAUAUUUUGUAUUUCAUUAUUCAGCUACAAUAGGCACAUCACUGAAGGCAUCUUUCCCUCUCUGAUUGGUCUUAUUAUAUGACCAUAUGCAAACUCUAUCAUUUACUACAUGGUGAGUGUAAAACUUUUAUUUUAGUGAGGGCUCUCAUACAUAGUGACAUCCAGUCAGCAUAUUUAUCUCCUAUAAAUAAGCUAGUCCAUAAACUUCAUAGAUGUCCAGCUAGUUGAGAGACCCAAAAGUUGACAAAUGCAAAUGUAUAUAUAUAUUUAUUUUUUUUAAUAAAAGCACGUUAUUUUAAAAGUAAAAUAUCUUGGUCCUUUAAGAUGAGAGAUCUGCUACCUAGACACAUUGCCUAGCAACAGGAUGCGAGUCAUUCAAUGGCUUCUCUAAACUGGUGAUUAGUUAUCCUCCUGUUGGUGACCCAGCUUGUAGAGUUUCCAGUCUGUUAACUUUUUGGUCUCUUGACCAAACAUCUCAUGACAUUAAUAUUGUCAUUGUAUUAGGUUCCAUCCAAGCAAAAGUCUUCAUGAAAUGUGUCAGUAUGAUGUAUAUGUAAACUUAGCUUGCUUUCUUCUAACUGCGCUCCACAAGCCUUUUGCUUAUAUUAAUAUCUAAUAAUAUUUUAAAUGAGUUAAUAUGAAUAUUCUAAGAGAGAACUGUCUUGACUCUAAAGCUGGGCAAUGAAGUUGAUCUGUCAUUUGGUUAUUAUAUGUUGAUUAUAAAUGUGUCAUUGAUAAAGUAUGUUUGUUAUCUGUCUAUAGAACUGUUUAAAUUAAGAAGAAAAUUAGUGUCUAUUUAUUCCUGGGAGUUUGUGCUCUUUUGCCGUAAUCUACUUUAAAUUUAUUUUCUAGGCAGAUACCAAAGUCAUACUGCUUAAUUCUCUUACCAAUGGCUUAUUGCUUGCUUGUUUGCUCGGUUUUGGUGGGGGGGAGGGAGAUACCCUGGAUAGUACAGAGAAAGAAAUACUUUGUAAAUGUUAACUUCAAUUGGAAUAAUUGUCAUAAAUAAUGACUGAAAUAAAAGAUCUGAACCUC